rnacentral:rRNA from 1 species
GCAGUCGANCGAUGAUCCGGUGCUUGCACCGGGGAUUAGUGGCGAACGGGUGAGUAACACGUGAGUAACCUGCCCUUAACUCUGGGAUAAGCCUGGGAAACUGGGUCUAAUACCGGAUAUGACUCCUCAUCGCAUGGUGGGGGGUGGAAAGCUUUUUGUGGUUUUGGAUGGACUCGCGGCCUAUCAGCUUGUUGGUGAGGUAAUGGCUCACCAAGGCGACGACGGGUAGCCGGCCUGAGAGGGUGACCGGCCACACUGGGACUGAGACACGGCCCAGACUCCUACGGGAGGCAGCAGUGGGGAAUAUUGCACAAUGGGCGCAAGCCUGAUGCAGCGACGCCGCGUGAGGGAUGACGGCCUUCGGGUUGUAAACCUCUUUCAGUAGGGAAGAAGCGAAAGUGACGGUACCUGCAGAAGAAGCGCCGGCUAACUACGUGCCAGCAGCCGCGGUAAUACGUAGGGCGCAAGCGUUAUCCGGAAUUAUUGGGCGUAAAGAGCUCGUAGGCGGUUUGUCGCGUCUGCCGUGAAAGUCCGGGGCUCAACUCCGGAUCUGCGGUGGGUACGGGCAGACUAGAGUGAUGUAGGGGAGACUGGAAUUCCUGGUGUAGCGGUGAAAUGCGCAGAUAUCAGGAGGAACACCGAUGGCGAAGGCAGGUCUCUGGGCAUUAACUGACGCUGAGGAGCGAAAGCAUGGGGAGCGAACAGGAUUAGAUACCCUGGUAGUCCAUGCCGUAAACGUUGGGCACUAGGUGUGGGGGACAUUCCACGUUUUCCGCGCCGUAGCUAACGCAUUAAGUGCCCCGCCUGGGGAGUACNGCCGCAAGGCUAAAACUCAAAGGAAUUGACNNGGGGCCCGCACAAGCGGCGGANCAUG